rnacentral:tRNA from 1 species
GGGGAUGUGGCUCAGUGGUAGAGUACUUGCCUAGCAUGCAGAAGGCCCUGGGCUCAAUCCCCAGCAUCUCAC